rnacentral:rRNA from 1 species
AUUGAACGCUGGCGGCAUGCUUUACACAUGCAAGUCGAACGGCAGCGCGGGCUUCGGCCUGGCGGCGAGUGGCGAACGGGUGAGUAAUGCAUCGGAACGUGCCCAGUAGUGGGGGAUAGCCCGGCGAAAGCCGGAUUAAUACCGCAUACGACCUGAGGGUGAAAGCGGGGGACCGAAAGGCCUCGCGCUAUUGGAGCGGCCGAUGUCGGAUUAGCUAGUUGGCGGGGUAAAGGCUUACCAAGGCGACGAUCCGUAGCUGGUCUGAGAGGACGACCAGCCACACUGGGACUGAGACACGGCCCAGACUCCUACGGGAGGCAGCAGUGGGGAAUUUUGGACAAUGGGGGCAACCCUGAUCCAGCCAUGCCGCGUGCGGGAAGAAGGCCUUCGGGUUGUAAACCGCUUUUGUUCGGGAAGAAAUCCUCUGGGCUAAUACCCCGGGGGGAUGACGGUACCGGAAGAAUAAGCACCGGCUAACUACGUG